ACACUCCUGCUGUGUUCGAAGAACCGGAUUUUUCUUCGAGCCUAAUUUCUUGAUAGGGGUCCGGUCCCUGAUGAUGGUGAGCAGGCCCUUGCAUAUGAAGGGAAGCCUUCAGUCAUCAAACUAAACCCCACCUGCACAGGCAGGUUCAAGAAAACCGGGAUAAACGGCACAAGCGGGAGUGUC
rnacentral:other from 1 species